UCGGACCCCCUUCUUCUUAGACUAACCUAGAAUCCUAAUAAAAAGAUCAGACCUAUAGGCCCUAGAAAAAGAGGCAGCGCCGCUGGAACAUAGACCCCCCCCCCCCCCCCCCCUUUUUGUUGUCGUCUUCUUCAAUACAGACCCCUUCCCCGUUGUUCUUCUUCCUUCAUCUUCAGAACACAAAGAUCACUCUACCCUCACGCCAACCUAAACCAAAACAUCCCCCCUCCAUCGGUUCAUCUUCUUCGACCCCUUCCAUUAUCUUCAGACAGCAGCAGCACCUUUUUCUUCACCUCGUAACCACCAAACAAGCAACCAUCGCCUGAAACCACCUCCCCCGUCGUCGUUUCAUACCCAGCCGUGACACCGUUACAUCAACCAGGUUUUUAAUCCAAAAAAACAGAGAAGUUUCUGCUUCUUCUCUUUGGUUUGAUCUCGAUUUUUUAGUUUCAAAUUCAUCGAGUCCAUUUUGAAGCUCGUUUGGAGAGUUGUUUGGAGCUGAGGUGUUGGAAAUGGUUUGAGGUCAUCGUUUAGUUACCAAUUCAAGAUUUUGUUAUUGGUUUGAGGUUCGCAUCAGUAGCUCGUCUCGCCUGUUUGGAAAUCUUCUUUCAUUGUAUACGGUGAAAAUUUGCAGCAGUAGAGGUCCGUUCUAACUUUCUCCUUCAAUGUUUAUUGUAAUAUUCUUGUGAAUGAAUUGAUAAGGAUGGUUAUUUUCUGUGCCUUGAAAUCUUAUCUUGGUGUGCAAUUUGGUUAAAUUAGAUAUGUGGUUAACGAGCGUACAUGCUAAAUUGUGUUUGAGGAAAGUUGUUUGAAUUAAUACAGUGAGUCGGCAAGAACGUGAAUUAACCGAGGUUUUAAUUUCUUUAAUCAUUUUGGUUGAUCUACUAUAAUUGAAUGUUUUACCUCAUUUGAAUGGGAUGUAUUGUUUUAGUAGAGUUUUUAAUAAUAUUUGGACAUGAGCUUUGUCAUUAAAUGAGUGAGAAUUUAAGUUUUUGGGGCCACAAGCUUGGCGUUAAAUGGAAGAAAAUUGGAGUGUAUCACUUUAUUCUGUCAAUUAGUCAUAAAAGCAUGUUAGGCCGCGAACCUUUAGGCACGUAACAAAAUUGUCACAACUACAGGUACGACUCCCGUAGUGUAGUCGUGAUACCUAAUUUCAAAUUAGUUUUAAAUAUAAGCCUCCGUAGUUCGCUUUAGUUGAGUACAAAUCUUCUUCUUUAGAUAAGUUGAAGUGUGCCAUACAAUCACCUAGUCUAUGGCCCUCACAUCGAUAUCUUAAUUAGUGUAGAAAAUGCUUUGAAAUCUCGUAGUUUGCUUUAGGCGUGUUAAUUAAAUAAAUUAUCUUAGUUAUGGGUACAGUUCCUGUGACGUAGUUGUGAUGCUUAAUUUCCAAAUUCGGGGGUACAUUUAUGUGACCCGGCCACAAUUUAAUCUUGUUAAUAAAAUAAACAUGUUGUGGAUCGUGGGUACGGUUCUCGUGACAUAAUUCGCAACGUGUAAUCAAAUAAUUAGUUGUAUGACAAUUGGAUUAUUAAAAGCGGUUAAAGGGAUAAAAUGCACAUAGGUUCAAAAAUAUUUUAUUAAUCAGAUAAUUAGGUCAAUAAUAAUAUUUGAGCGACCGUGCUAAAACCAUGGAACCUGGGAAUGCCUAACACAUUCUCCCGAGUUAACAAAAUUCCUUACCCAGAUUUCUGUGUUCGCGGACUGUAAACCAGAGUCAAUCUUUCCUCGAUUCGGAAUUUCAACCGGUGACUUGGGACACCAUAAAUCAUCCCAAGUGGUGACUCUGAAUUUUAAAUAAAUAAUUCUAUUUCAAUUGUCACUUAAAUUGAAAAAAACUCCCUUAUACCCUUCGGGGUGGUAAAAAGGAGGUGUGACAGCUCUGGCGACUCUGCUGGGGAUCAGUAACCCAGAAUCUUUGGUUCAAGGUUCAAGAAUUCGAGCUUGAAAUAUUGUUAUAUUUGGCUUUUAUUUAUUAUCUGGUUUUAUUACAUGUUUGGGCCUAAUGUGCUAAAUGCUACCUUUUACCGCUUUGAUACUAUUUGAACUGUAUAUAAACUACUACGAAACCCUUCUCUUCUCAUCUUCGGGGAUGUGCACGUUGGCGUGACUCCUCUUUUGUUAGUGUCACACCUUAAAUUAGGAAGAGGCUUGGACAAGUUACAAAGUCGGAUGGCCUUUUGGUUCCGGGUACGUAGCCCCCCCUCCCUCGAGUUGUCCGCUCGGGUACACAAGUCUAGAACUACAUACCCAGGUUUUGAACUUAGAAUAACUCAGCCUCAUGCCGAAUCCCUAGUAGGAAUGUUUGUUUGCAUCACGUGCAUCUGACUUUGGGGACUCAACACAGGGGUUGGGUCCGUCUAGGACAGGUGUGCCCAAAAAAUAAAAGACCAUCUUGAUGCAUCCUAUGUGCUACAUGUUGAAAUUUUUAAGGGUAAAAGGGUCAUUUGGCGGACCAAUGAUAGUUGAGGGCAAAUUAAAAAAGAAAAAAAAGAAAGGGAAAAAAGAGAGGGUGAAGUGUGAAAAUAAAGCAAGUAGGGCCCAGUUAAGUUUUCUGCCACAUUUUUGUUAAGAAAAAGAAAAAAAAAACAUGAAAAAUUUAAAAAAAGAUUUUGCACUUUCCCAUCAUUUUAAAAAAAAAAUCAAAAAAGAGGAAAAAGAAAAUUCAUAAAGAAUUUACAUGUUUCAUCAUUUUCAAGGAAAAGACAAAAAAAAAUAUUUUCUCCAAAUUAGAUGUUUUUUUAUUUCUCGCCCGUAUCCAAUCUGCCCGAACUAUGCAUACCUGAUUCUCGUCUUUCGGGGAGGGAUACGUAGGUAACCCACAUAGGGUCCGGUCUUCCUUGUGAAUUUUAGGUUCUUGGCUUUGCGGGGUCUUAGCCAAAUUUUGCACUUCUAGCCACCUUUUGGCCACAUAAGCCGUUUUGAAAAAAUAGUCUCAAUCAUGUCUUGCAUGUGUCUAAUAUGGAGUGUUAUUGUCUCACAUAGUGUUGGUUAAAGUUUUCUCAUACAGGUGUGGAUCCACUUACCAGAGUUUGAGCACGAUAGACAUUCCGGGAUCAUCUAGUAAGGAUCGCUCAUUCAGGAGUUGCUUAAGGAGAUUUUUUUUUAUUUUUAUGUUUUGAGUCUGUUUUUCUUUUAUAUCAUCUUUUACCUUCUAGUUUUGUACAGUAAUGUCGAGACUUUUAUUAUUGUACUUUCUAUUUUGUAUUUGAAAAAAAAAGAUGUGUUAUAAAUCAAAAAUCAAUGAAAAAAAAGAGAUUUGGUGUUUUUAUAUUUCGGUUAGAUAUUUUCUUUAGGAUACUAACUCUAGAAGUUCAAAAAAA
rnacentral:lncRNA from 1 species